CAGUCGUACGCUUCUUUUUCACCGGAGCUUGCUCCACCGGAAAAAGAAGAGUGGCGAUCGGGUGAGUAACACGUGGGUAACCUGCCCAUCAGAAGGGGAUAACACUUGGAAACAGGUGCUAAUACCGUAUAACAAUCGAAACCGCAUGGUUUUGAUUUGAAAGGCGCUUUCGGGUGUCGCUGAUGGAUGGACCCGCGGUGCAUUAGCUAGUUGGUGAGGUAACGGCUCACCAAGGCCACGAUGCAUAGCCGACCUGAGAGGGUGAUCGGCCACAUUGGGACUGAGACACGGCCCAAACUCCUACGGGAGGCAGCAGUAGGGAAUCUUCGGCAAUGGACGAAAGUCUGACCGAGCAACGCCGCGUGAGUGAAGAAGGUUUUCGGAUCGUAAAACUCUGUUGUUAGAGAAGAACAAGGAUGAGAGUAACUGUUCAUCCCUUGACGGUAUCUAACCAGAAAGCCACGGCUAACUACGUGCCAGCAGCCGCGGUAAUACGUAGGUGGCAAGCGUUGUCCGGAUUUAUUGGGCGUAAAGCGAGCGCAGGCGGUUUCUUAAGUCUGAUGUGAAAGCCCCCGGCUCAACCGGGGAGGGUCAUUGGAAACUGGGAGACUUGAGUGCAGAAGAGGAGAGUGGAAUUCCAUGUGUAGCGGUGAAAUGCGUAGAUAUAUGGAGGAACACCAGUGGCGAAGGCGGCUCUCUGGUCUGUAACUGACGCUGAGGCUCGAAAGCGUGGGGAGCAAACAGGAUUAGAUACCCUGGUAGUCCACGCCGUAAACGAUGAGUGCUAAGUGUUGGAGGGUUUCCGCCCUUCAGUGCUGCAGCUAACGCAUUAAGCACUCCGCCUGGGGAGUACGACCGCAAGGUUGAAACUCAAAGGAAUUGACGGGGGCCCGCACAAGCGGUGGAGCAUGUGGUUUAAUUCGAAGCAACGCGAAGAACCUUACCAGGUCUUGACAUCCUUUGACCACUCUAGAGAUAGAGCUUCCCCUUCGGGGGCAAAGUGACAGGUGGUGCAUGGUUGUCGUCAGCUCGUGUCGUGAGAUGUUGGGUUAAGUCCCGCAACGAGCGCAACCCUUAUUGUUAGUUGCCAUCAUUCAGUUGGGCACUCUAGCAAGACUGCCGGUGACAAACCGGAAGAAGGUGGGGAUGACGU
rnacentral:rRNA from 1 species